UUGUUGAUCGCUUUUGUUCGGCGUUCUAACGCUACGCUAUAUUAUACAAGUUAUGUGGGUGUCUCUGCAUACUCAAAUCCAAUGGUUUAACGCAUGAUACUUUAAUGUAUUAUAAUACUUAUAAUAAUUAAUAAAUUUUAUUUAUUUUUUAUUUAUUUAAUUGCAAUCUGUUUUUAUAACAAUGAGCAAAUUGUGUAAAAUACUAGACUAACUAACCGGAUGGCUUAAGCUCCAGUAAGCUUAAUCCAUAUAUUUACAUAUAUUCAUAUUUACAGAAAACCUAUUUUAUUUAUAGUCUAUUUGGGAGAUCCAGGACAUGGAAUCUUUUAGACUGUCAUCUGAGCAGAAAAAUGUAUCAUCAAACCUACUUUGUUUGACUCGAUGAUUUUUGGUCAGACUAGAAAAUUCGAGAAACGUAAAAUUAGUUCGCUUUAGUAGGCGCUGCAAAUGUUUCAUAAGCUUCAAUGUUAGGAAUUUAUUCAUUCAGUUGUUACAGUUUAGGCUUUUGAGAAAGAGCUCAAUUUUUUUUGAAAAAUAAAUAAACAAGUGAAACAAAAAAAUAUUCAUAUAUAUUUGCAAUAAGAGAAAUACAAAAUAGCUAUGUAUCCUGCAACACGCACUGUGUCUACGAUGACAACUAAUACCGUUGUGGACUCCGGAACGGCCUUACACAAGUUCAACAUAUUGACAUAUAGCACAUCCACGCAGACAACUGCUGUAAAGGAUAUGCCGAAGCCGACCCCAAUGGCACCCAAGUUGGAGCAGACCCCAUCAAACAUGGAUGGGCUGACCACGCUCUUUACCGACCUCAAUGUGAUUGAGCCUCGCGUAACCACUAGGACAACUAGCACAUCAACCUAACUGGUUGCCUAUUGGGCCAGCACACACAGACCUGCAAAAGGAGCCAACAUACCUCAUAUCAACCUAAAAUACCCAAUAGAAACUAUGCGAUCGUAGGGCCUGUGGGUGUAUCUCACACAACAACAAUCUUCAUUCAGGACAAAUUCUAAAUCGAAAAUGGAUAUAAGUAACACUUCAAAAGCGACAUUAUCCAAAUUCUACACAAUGCUGGAGAAUAGUUAACAAUCUUCGUUAUUUAACUAAAUAGAAGCCCACUUACAAUUCGUUCAUACACCGAUAAAUCGCACAGAAAACCAACCCGAAAAUAAUUAUGAUGAAUCGUCGCCCCAGAUAUCAUCAAAUUAAUAACGGUUGCCAACGUACACACUUAAUCGGAAUGCAAUUGUCAAGGUUCAUGAGCUUAUCCAAAAUAUUAUUGUACGUUUCUUAACACGAAUCUCCGAAUCCGAAUCCGAAUCCGAAUCCGAAUCCUCAAAUUUAUGUCACUAGUGUGAAUUUAUAAAUAAAACUUUGACGAAUUAUUGAUAUGCCAAUCGAA